GACGAACGCUGGCGGCGUGCCUAACACAUGCAAGUCGAACGGCAGGGCAGUGAUUUUGUGGGGUGCUCGAGUGGCGAACGGGUGAGUAACACGUGAGUAACCUGCCCUAGAUUUUGGGAUAACAUCAGGAAACUGGGGCUAAUACCGGAUAGGAGCUCCCCCAGGCAUGUGGGGGAUGGAAAGUUUGGGCUGUCGGGGCUGGACUCGCCGCUUAUGAGCUUGUUGGUGGGGUAGUGGCAUACCAACGAUGUGACGGGUCGCCGACCUGGGAGGGGGGCCGGCCACAUUACAACUGAGAUACGGCCCAGACUCGUACGUGAGGCAGCGGUGGAGAGGAUUGCACAGUGAGAUGGAGCCUGAUACGACGACGCCGCGUGCGGGAUGGCGUCCUUCUGGUUGUAAACCGCAUUCGCCUUUGACGAAGCGAUAGUGACGGUAAUGAAUGAAGAAGCACCGGCUAACUACGUG
rnacentral:rRNA from 1 species